rnacentral:sRNA from 1 species
UUUUGAUUUGUUUAUGUAUAAGUUAACCAACAUUUUAAUGUUCGUACCUUGUAAAUAUGAAAUAUAAUUCUGCCGACAGGCUGGGUGCUAUAAUCGAAACUCCCCAUCACAUACCCUACAGUGGCUCCCAUAAAAAUCAACGCUCGCGGAGAUGACGUAAAAAGACUGAGCAGAAGGCAAAAAAAACAUGUUCCGCAUUUCAAUUGGCAGCUCAACAGCAACAAAAGCGGCUCUGCCAAUACUUUGCAAUCAACUACGACUUGAUCUUUAUUUUGGAGGUGCUGCCAAUCAAAUAAGGGAACCGAUUGAAAAGUCUUGCACUUGAAAAUGCCCUUCUCAAAUUGAGUGUCCAACUUGUUAUGCAUAAUUCAUUUGGCCAAGUAAUAGAUGCCGUUUUGGCGUUUCUUCCAACUGCACAAAUAUGUCUCUAAUUUAGUAAUUAAACGCUACUGACGACGGGGACCAAUUAACGUCCGGGGCUCAAUUAUUUCAGGCAAAUUAAACAGCUAACUGAAUUGUCGCCCCGCACAUCUGACAUUUUGGCCACUCAAUCAGGCCCGAAAUGUUCGACCCUCUCAUGUGUGCUAAUGAAUAAAUAGCACGGCAGUUUGACAGGACCCAAACUCCUGGCAUUCCUCGAGCAUUGGAAUUAUCGUUACAUCAUCAUCGCCGAGCGAUAAUUCAAUUUGCACUGCGAAUUAACACCUGGCAUCGUUUCAGUUUCUGUUUCUGUUUCUCCUGCUGACCAUCUUGGCUUGUCCAGCGUUCUGGCCCUAAUGUGGCUCUAAUUAUCGCCCUUGCCCAGAACUUGAGUCCUUUCCCAUCCUGUCAGCACACAAUGCAACUUUAAUGAGCCCCACAAAGUGCCACACACGCACAGAAUAAUGGAAAAUGGACCUAUUGGACAUGGCCCUGACAUUCGAAUUUAUUAUGCAAAUUGUUUGCAGUUUAUGGCUCAGUUUGGGGUGUGCCACUUGGCCAUCGAGGAGUGAAAUACGUUAUGUAUUG